rnacentral:rRNA from 1 species
GACGAACGCUGGCGGCGUGCUUAACACAUGCAAGUCGAACGGAAAGGCCCUGCUUUUGUGGGGUGCUCGAGUGGCGAACGGGUGCGUAACACGUGAGUAACCUGCCCUUGACUUUGGGAUAACUUCAGGAAACUGGGGCUAAUACCGGAUAGGAGCUCCUGCUGCAUGGUGGGGGUUGGAAAGUUUCGGCGGUUGGGGAUGGACUCGCGGCUUAUCAGCUUGUUGGUGGGGUAGUGGCUUACCAAGGCUUUGACGGGUAGCCGGCCUGAGAGGGUGACCAGCCACAUUGGGACUGAGAUACGGCCCAGACUCCUACGGGAGGCAGCAGUGGGGAAUAUUGCACAAUGGGCGGAAGCCUGAUGCAGCAACGCCGCGUGCGGGAUGACGGCCCUCGGGUUGUAAACCGCUUUCGCCUGUGACGAAGCGUGAGUGACGGUAAUGGGUAAAGAAGCACCGGCUAACUACGUGCCAGCCGCCGCGGUAA